rnacentral:rRNA from 1 species
AGUCUUCAUUUUAAGGUUAGAUCUCAAAUCAGGUAGGACUACCCGCUGAACUUUAGCAUAUCCAUAAGCGGAGGAAAAGAAACUAACAAGGAUUCCCCUAGUAGCGGCGAGCGAAGCGGGAAGAGCUCAAAUUUAUAAUCUGGCACCUUCGGUGUCCGAGUUGUAAUCUCCAGAAAUGUUUUCCGCGUUGGACCGCACACAAGUCUGUUGGAAUACAGCGGCAUAGUGGUGAGACCCCCGUAUAUGGUGCGGACGCCCAGCGCUUUGUGAUACAUUUUCGAAGAGUCGAGUUGUUUGGGAAUGCAGCUCAAAUUGGGUGGUAAAUUCCAUCUAAAGCUAAAUAUUGGCGAGAGACCGAUAGCGAACAAGUACCGUGAGGGAAAGAUGAAAAGCACUUUGGAAAGAGAGUUAACAGUACGUGAAAUUGUUGGAAGGGAAACGCUUGAAGUCAGACUUGCUUGCUGAGCAAUCGGUUUGCAGGCCAGCAUCAGUUUUCCGGGAUGGAUAAUGGUAGAGAGAAGGUAGCAGUUUCGGCUGUGUUAUAGCUCUCUGCUGGAUACAUCUUGGGGGACUGAGGAACGCAGUGUGCCUUUGGCGGGGGUUUCGACCUCUCAC